rnacentral:rRNA from 1 species
UACGGAGGGAGCUAGCGUUGUUCGGAUAUACUGGGCGUAAAGCGCACGUAGGCGGCGUCGUAAGUCAGGGGUGAGAUCCCGGAGCUCAACUCCGGAACUGCCCUUGAAACUGCAAUGCUAGAAUCUUGGAGAGGCGAGUGGAAUUCCGAGUGUAGAGGUGAAAUUCGUAGAUAUUCGGAAGAACACCAGUGGCGAAGGCGACUCGCUGGACAAGUAUUGACGCUGAGGUGCGAAAGCGUGGGGAGUAAACAGG